ACCACUGAACAGAGCCUGGCUCUGUCCUCUUUGCAUCUCCCAUUUUAUAUAUGUUAAUGGGACCUCCUUGGGCAUUCUCUUUUCUAGCUGAUCAGUCUCAGCUCCCUCAGCCUCUCCUCAUGGAAGUGCUUGGUAUACCCAGGCUAAUUUGGAAUGACUACCUAUUGCUGUCAAAAUAGAUACCCUACUAACAAUUCAUUCAAUAGGAGCUUACUGCUGUGGAGAAGCUGCCUGCUGCAGUAACAGCAUGACAUGUUCAGACUUGUUAUGUUGCCUGACAGCCUUGACAUAUUUGCUCUGUUUCCUCUAUUUGUAUAAUGGUCUCUGGCUACAACACACAUCCCUGGACAUGAAUUUUCAUUUUAAAGUUCCCAAAUGGCCUUCAUGAAACUUGUGUGCAUAUAACCCCAGUAUUGCAGAAAUAAGUACAUCAAUCGCAAACUUCAGAAGGGGAGCAUGUUUUACACCUGACUGCUCUUCCUAACCCAGAAUCCAUUUGUUUAUUGUAUUUUAGUUUGGAUUUACACACUAGCGAUAUGUCUUCUUACUUUAUGCAACAUUGCAAUAUUACUGCUUUACAUAGAAAAAACAUUGGCUGCACUGAGUCUCUGUUUAAAAACUGUUUGGAUGUGGUGCUCAGGGACGUGAUUUAGCAGAGGGUUGUUGGAGUUAGGGUAGUAUGGCUAGGUUGUGGUUGGAAUUGAUGAUCUUUAAGGUUUUUGCAAUCUGUAAUUCAAUGAUUUUUGUGAUUCUGCAGUGAAAAUGCUAAGUCUCGGCUUGGAACAGUGAUUGAGCAGCUGGUGGGAAGGCAGGGCCAGCCCAGGAGAACUCAGGUGGAUGCACUGUGCUCAUUUAAGGGCUGGCAGUGGAGGAAGGUGCAUAUAAAAUGAGAGUUUUCCCUUAAAUGAAAUAUAAGAAAUUUCCUAGACUUCUGCUGUGUAACCUACGCUGCUUCCAGCUUCUCCUGAUGAGCAACUUGGUAACUGUGCUUUUUGCUCUUUCCUGAUGAAGAACUGCUGCCUUCACUGCUCCAUUUCCUGCAUUGCUCACUCCACCAUCCGACACCUUCAGAAAAUAUUGCCACCUGUUGAGAAAUUUUACAAUCUUCCUGCCUCUUGAUGAUGUGUGGGAUUUGGAGGAGAGUGGAUAAAUAGAAGAAGACCUGUAGCCUCUUCAUUUGCAUCCUUGACCUGCUCAAGGCUUGGGCAGUACCUUGGUGAAGGACUGUUGGUGGUGGUCUCAGAGGAACAACCAGUUAAGAAGUAUACUGGAGUUUUGAAAGAACUACAUGGACUGAAGUGAAGAUCAUGUUCCCAAACUUCUGAUUCAAUGGAAAGCAUCCUUUAGCUUGAUACAGAGCUAUACACUGUCAAAAGGCUUUUUCACAUCUCUUUGGGAGACAGAUUCAGCCACAUGCUCUCGUCAUUCACAGUGGAACUUCAUGGGUAGGCAGAGGACCUCUCCCUCCGGGCUGAUCUGGAUGGGGAAUGCCCACGGUACCUGGCACCUG